rnacentral:rRNA from 1 species
AUUGAACGCUGGCGGCAUGCCUUACACAUGCAAGUCGAACGGCAGCACGGGAGCAAUCCUGGUGGCGAGUGGCGAACGGGUGAGUAAUAUAUCGGAACGUGCCCAGUCGUGGGGAUAACGUAGCGAAAGCUACGCUAAUACCGCAUACUAUCUAUGGAUGAAAGCGGGGGAUCGCAAGACCUCGCGCGAUUGGAGGCGGCCGAUAUCAGAUUAGGUAGUUGGUGAGGUAAAGGCUCACCAAGCCGACGAUCUGUAGCUGGUCUGAGAGGACGACCAGCCACACUGGGACUGAGACACGGCCCAGACUCCUACGGGAGGCAGCAGUGGGAAUUUUGGACAA